rnacentral:rRNA from 1 species
CUACGGGUUGCUGCAGUAGGGAAUAUUGCACAAUGGAGGAAACUCUGAUGCAGCGACGCCGCGUGAGUGAUGAAGGCCUUUACGGUCGUAAAGCUCUGUAAGGAGGGAAGAACCUGAUGGUGUAACGGCCAUCACUGACGGUACCUCCAAAGUAAGGACCGGCUAAAUACGUGCCAGCAGCCGCGGUAAUACGUAUGGUCCCAGCGUUGUCCGGAAUAACUGGGCGUAAAGGGUGUGUAGGAGGAUAUACGUGUCAGGUGUGAAAUCCCUCGGCUUAACCGGGGCAUUGCGCUUGAAACUGUAUAUCUAGAGCGCGGCAGGGGUAAGCGGAAUUCCCGGAGUAGCGGUGAAAUGCGUAGAUAUCGGGAAGAACACCGGUGGCGAAGGCGGCUUACUGGGGCAUGACUGACGCUGAGGCACGAAAGCGUGGGGAGCGAACGGGAUUAGAUACCCGGGUAGUC